rnacentral:rRNA from 16 species
AGAGAAUUGAGAGGACCUUUCCCUAGUACGAGAGGACCGGGAAGGACGCACCUCUGGUGUACCAGUUAUCGUGCCUACGGUAAACGCUGGGUAGCCAAGUGCGGAGAGGAUAACUGCUGAAAGCAUAUAAGUAGUAAGCCCACCCCAAGAUGAGUGCUCU